CUUUGCUCAAACUUAUCUCCAAGAGGAAGUGUCCAAUCCCGCUCACGCAGACCAAUCUCUCACGUUGUGAAGGCUGUUGCUACUCCGAAUUCAGUUGUGGAAUUGCCACUAACUGCAGAAAAUGUUGAAAGUGUAUUGGAUGAAAUCCGACCUUAUCUAAUUGCAGAUGGGGGAAAUGUGGCAUUGCAUGAAAUUGAUGGCAACGUUGUACGAUUGAAGCUACAGGGAGCAUGUGGCUCCUGUCCGAGUUCUGUUAUCACAAUGAAAAUGGGCAUUUGAGUGUCACUUGAUGGAAAAGAUCCCUGAAAUAGUCGCAGUGGAACCGAUAGCUGAUGAAGAAACUAGUCUUGAGAUGAAUGAGGAAAAUAUAGAGGAGGGCAUGUAAUUCUUGGUAAGGAAACUGGGAGGAGUGUGUGGGAAGAGGAAAGAUAAAUAGGAAAGAGUCGAUCUUUCUAGCUUUUAAACAUCCCUGACGAAACUUGUAAUAAUUGAGUCCGAAAGUCCAAGCUGGAGCAAGAUGCUAAUGUGGGACUACGUGAGUAAGAGAUAGGGAGCAGCCUUGUUGUGAACAUAGUGCUAAGCCACAUUCCUUUUCUGGGCCAAUAUG